rnacentral:rRNA from 1 species
GACGAACGCUGGCGGCGUGCUUAACACAUGCAAGUCGAACGGAAAGGCCCUGCUUUUGUGGGGUGCUCGAGUGGCGAACGGGUGAGUAACACGUGAGUAACCUGCCCUUGACUUUGGGAUAACUUCAGGAAACUGGGGCUAAUACCGGAUAGGAGCUCCUGCUGCAUGGUGGGGGUUGGAAAGUUUCGGCGGUUGGGGAUGGACUCGCGGCUUAUCAGCUUGUUGGUGGGGUAGUGGCUUACCAAGGCUUUGACGGGUAGCCGGCCUGAGAGGGUGACCGGCCACAUGGGGACUGCGGUACGGCCCAGACUCCAACGGGAGGCAGCAGUGGGGAAUAUUGCACAAUGGGCGGAAGCCUGAUGCAGCAACGCCGCGUGCGGGAUGACGGCCUUCGGGUUGUAAACCGCUGUCGCCUGUGACGAAGCGUGAGUGACGGUAAUGGGUAAAGAAGCACCGGCUAACUACGUG